CCAUCAACUGCCCCCCACAAUCCACCCUCACCCACACACUGGGACCCCAUUAACCCACCCACCCCGCACUGUGGCACUUUGUGUCUAU